rnacentral:rRNA from 1 species
AACGAACGCUGGCGGCAUGCCUAACACAUGCAAGUCGAACGAGACCUUCGGGUCUAGUGGCGCACGGGUGCGUAACGCGUGGGAACCUGCCCUUAGGUUCGGAAUAACUCCCCGAAAGGGGUGCUAAUACCGGAUAAUGUCUUCGGACCAAAGAUUUAUCGCCUUUGGAUGGGCCCGCGUUGGAUUAGCUAGUUGGUAGGGUAAACGCCUACCAAGGCGACGAUCCAUAGCUGGUCUGAGAGGAUGAUCCGCGACACUGGGACUGGGAAACGGUCCAGACUCCUACGGAAGGCAGGAGUGGGGAAUAUUGGACAAUGGGCGAAAGCCUGAUCCAGCAAUGCCGCGUGAGUGAUGAAGGCCUUAGGGUUGUAAAGUGCUUUUAACUGGGAUGAUAAUGACAGUACCGGGAGAAUAAGCUCCGGCUAACUCCGUG